UAGCUACUGCAUUCUCUCUCAUACUUAUUAGUGAGGCCAACCUCUCUCCUUUUUCCUCUCUUUAUGCAAUUCAUAUUGCUACUUAUAAACUCAUUUAUACUUGUUGAAAUGAAGAAUUAAAGGCUAGUUUUGUGUUGUUGCAAUGAAGAGUGAAGAGGGGGUUGGUGGCUAAGCUCAUCCUUGAAAGAAUUUGGCGAUUCCUCGAACUUGUUAUUUUAGUGAGUGGUACAUUGAGUUGGAAAAAUAGAUAGGAGACUCAAUGCCAAGAAUGAUGAAAGAAGGAAUUCUUGCAGCAUCUCUAAGGGGAGAGCUUACAGCAAUGGCAAGGCCUAUCUGCACUGAGAUGAAGAGGACACCAAAGAAGGCAGAAAGACAAGCAACGAAAUCAAGCUUAUCCACUUUCCAUAAGCGCAUUGCUGAACUAAAAUCGAUCAGGC